UGGGGAAUUUUGGACAAUGGGCGAAAGCCUGAUCCAGCAAUGCCGCGUGUGUGAAGAAGGCCUUCGGGUUGUAAAGCACUUUUGUCCGGAAAGAAAUCCUUGGCUCUAAUACAGUCGGGGGAUGACGGUACCGGAAGAAUAAGCACCGGCUAACUACGUGCCAGCAGCCGCGGUAAUACGUAGGGUGCAAGCGUUAAUCGGAAUUACUGGGCGUAAAGCGUGCGCAGGCGGUUUGCUAAGACCGAUGUGAAAUCCCCGGGCUCAACCUGGGAACUGCAUUGGUGACUGGCAGGCUAGAGUAUGGCAGAGGGGGGUAGAAUUCCACGUGUAGCAGUGAAAAUGCGUAGAGAUGUGGAGGAAUACCGAUGGCGAAGGCAGCCCCCUGGGCCAAUACUGACGCUCAUGCACGAAAAGCGUGGGGGAGCAAAACAGGAUUAGAUACCCUGAUAGUCCACGCCCUAAAACGAUGUCAACUAGUUGUUGGGGGAUUCAUUUCCUUAGU
rnacentral:rRNA from 1 species